CUUGGUCAUUUAGAGGAAGUAAAAGUCGUAACAAGGUCUCCGUAGGUGAACCUGCGGAGGGAUCAUUACAGAGUUCUCGCCCUCGCGGGUAGAUCUCCCACCCACUGUUAUCGUUACUAUCGUUGCUUUGGCGGGCCGCCGGGUCCUGCCCGGCCCCCGGCCCCGGCUGGGGUGCGCCCGCCAGAGGCCCUACAAACUCUGAAUGUCAGUGUCGUCUGAGUACUAUACAAUAGUUAAAACUUUCAACAACGGAUCUCUUGGUUCUGGCAUCGAUGAAGAACGCAGCGAAAUGCGAUAAGUAAUGCGAAUUGCAGAAUUCAGUGAGUCAUCGAAUCUUUGAACGCACAUUGCGCCCUGUGGUAUUCCGCAGGGCAUGCCUGUUCGAGCGUCAUUUCAACCCUCAAGCACUGCUUGGUGUUGGGCCCUGCCCGUCGCGGCCGGCCCUAAAGACAGUGGCGGCGCCGUCUGGCUCUAAGCGUAGUACAACUCUCGCUCUGGAGUCCUGCGGUAGCUUGCCAGAACCCCUAAUCUUAUGGUUGACCUCGGAUCAGGUAGGGAUACCCGCUGAACUUAAGCAUAUCAAUAAGCGGAGGA
rnacentral:rRNA from 1 species